AGAAUGAACGUUGGCGGCGUGGAUUAGGCAUGCAAGUCGAACGAAUCCCUUCUGGGUAACUGGGAGGGGGAAGUGGCGAAAGGGGCAGUAAGGCAUGGGUAACUUGCCCUGGAGUUCGGGAUAGCCUUCCUAACGGAUGGGUAAUACCGAAUGCCGUACUUUGGGGGCAUCCUCGAAGUACGAAAGUUCCGACGCUCCGGGAGAGGUCCAUGUGGUAUUAGCUAGUUGGUGGGGUAACGGCCCACCAAGGCCAAGAUGCCUAGCAGGUGUGAGAGCACGACCUGCGUCACUGGCACUGGGACACUGGCCAGACUCCUACGGGAGGCUGCAGUCGAGGAUCUUCGGCAAUGGGCGAAAGCCUGACCGAGCGACGCCGCGUGUGCGAUGAAGGCCUUCGGGUUGUAAAGCACUGUCGAGGGAAAGAAAGCCGAAAGGUUUGAUCGAUCUCUGGAGGAAGCUCGGGCUAAGUUCGCGCCAGCAGCCGCGGUAA
rnacentral:rRNA from 1 species